GACGAACGCUGGCGGCGUGCUUAACACAUGCAAGUCGAACGGAAAGGCCCUGCUUUUGUGGGGUGCUCGAGUGGCGAACGGGUGAGUAACACGUGAGUAACCUGCCCUUGACUUUGGGAUAACUUCAGGAAACUGGGGCUAAUACCGGAUAGGAUCUCCUGCUGCAUGGUGUUGGUUGGAAAGUUUCGGCGGUUGGGGAUGGACUCGCGGCUUAUCAGCUUGUUUGUGGGGUAGUUGCUUACCAAGGCUUUGACGGGUAGCCGGCCUGAGAGGGUGAACGGCCACAUGGGGACUGAGAUACGGCCCAGACUCCUACGGGAGGCAGCAGUGGGGAAUAUUGCACAAUGGGCGGAAGCCUGAUGCAGCAACGCCGCGUGCGGGAUGACGGCCUUCGGGUUGUAAACCGCUUUCGCCUGUGACGAAGCGUGAGUGACGGUAAUGGGUAAAGAAGCACCGGCUAACUACGUG
rnacentral:rRNA from 1 species